GCCGCUGUAGCUCAGUUGGUAGAGCGACGCACUCGUAAUGCGUAGGUCGUGGGUUCGUCUCCCACCAGCGGCU
rnacentral:tRNA from 1 species